UACGUAGGUGGCAAGCGUUGUCCGGAUUUACUGGGCGUAAAGAGCGCGCAGGCGGUCGUUCAAGUCGAGUGUGAAAGCCCCCGGCUCAACUGGGGAGGGUCACUCGAUACUGAUCGACUUGAAGGCAGGAGAGGGCAGCAGAAUUCCCGGUGUAGUGGUGAAAUGCGUAGAUAUCAAGCGGAACACCAGUGGCGAAGGCGAGUCCCUGGACAACUCCUGACACUGAGGCACGAAAGCUAGGGGAGCAAACAGG
rnacentral:rRNA from 1 species